rnacentral:misc_RNA from 1 species
UCUCCGUAGGUGAACCUGCGGAGGGAUCAUUACUGAGUGAGGGCCUUCGGGCUCGACCUCCAACCCUUUGUGAACACAACUUGUUGCUUCGGGGGCGACCCUGCCGUUUCGACGGCGAGCGCCCCCGGUGGCCAAUUAUUAAACUCUGCAUCUCUUGCGUCGGAGUCUUAAAGAAAUUUAAACAAAACUUUCAACAACGGAUCUCUUGGUUCCAGCAUCGAUGAAGAACGCAGC